UACGAAGGGGGCUAGCGUUGUUCGGAAUCACUGGGCGUAAAGGGCGCGUAGGCGGCCGAUCAAGUCGGGGGUGAAAGCCUGUGGCUCAACCACAGAAUUGCCUUUGAUACUGUUUGGCUUGAGACCGGAAGAGGUUAGUGGAACUGCGAGUGUAGAGGUGAAAUUCGUAGAUAUUCGCAAGAACACCAGUGGCGAAGGCGGCUGACUGGUCCGGUUCUGACGCUGAGGCGCGAAAGCGUGGGGAGCAAACAGG
rnacentral:rRNA from 1 species